UACGUAGGGGGCAAGCGUUGUCCGGAAUUAUUGGGCGUAAAGCGCGUGUAGGCGGCUCGGUAAGUCCGCUGUGAAAGUCGGGGGCUCAACCCUCGAAUGCCGGUGGAUACUGUCGGGCUAGAGUGCAGAAGAGGCGAGUGGAAUUCCUGGUGUAGCGGUGAAAUGCGCAGAUAUCAGGAGGAACACCAAUUGCGAAGGCAGCUCGCUGGGACGUAACUGACGCUGAGACGCGAAAGCGUGGGGAGCAAACAGG
rnacentral:rRNA from 1 species